GUUUGACUUAGACUGGGCCACUUUUGGACAUAUUCAGCAAUUCUGAAUCAUCUGUUCAUGUCAUCUCUAAAGCCAAGCCCUCAUCCUUUGACUCAUCAAUUAUCAUGUAUUUUUACUCAUAGAUGUUCUCACUAUAACUUUUUAAAGAUGCAAUUUAUGUCUACUUUCCAGUAAUCGUCUUGUUUUUACCAAAGCUUUUGGCUAUCAUUGUUUUUGCCACCUAGGUACUUUUGGUGGUUUUACAACAUGAAACUUCCAAAUAAUCCCUGGUGUUGUGGACAACAUGAUUUCUCAAUGUUGCUCUAAUCUGCCUUUCUCACUUUAAACCACUUCUUCCUAAAAUGAGUCAAGAAUGGGACUCAGAUGUUGUUUAAGUUACUAAACAAAAUCUGGGACCCUCUUCUCCUGUUUCUGGUGAGAAGCAGAGCAAAGAGAAACAGAAAGGAAGGGGGCUGAGUGAGACUUGAACAAACUGGAGAAGUCCAGGUCGAACAUGCACUUGUGAGUUACCAACUCUGCACAGAGAAAUCAGCCUUAGUUCAAUUUUGGCUUCUGUGACUCCUGCUAUGGGAACGUAUCAGCCAGCGGCUUAUACCUGUGAAAAGCAGCAGACGUAGAAAGCAAUGACUGUGUUUGCCAAGCAAAUAAUCACAUUCAACAGGGUUGUCUUUGAUAUGUGGUUUCUCAAAGGUUUCCCCAUCUUUAUCCCAGGAAUACCCAAAUACCUGUCCACUAUACAUUUACUAGGCAACUGUAAAUAAUCCUUAUCUUUUACAAAGAAAAUGGUUUUUACAAUGAGUCGAAUAUAUUUUUCAGUCCUC